CUACCGGAAAGGCGGAAGAGGGCAGAACUGGGGAGUCACAGGAGGCUCAGUGUCCUGCUCCUAGGAAGAAAAAGCGCUGGAGCCGAGCCAGAGCCUUCCUCAAGUUCUUCCAACGCCAGAGAGACGGCUCACGAGGACAAGCCAAGUCACCCCCAGACAGCCUUCCUGGGCCCCUGGAGGCCAUGCCAUCGUGCUCAUACUGGGAGGAGGAGGGAGACGCCCGCAGGGGGCCCCCACCAAAAGCAAAGGGGCAACGAAAGAGUGCCUUUUGGAGCAGGAAGAAGCAGGACAAAGUCAAAGACCAGCCUCCAGUGGCCAGCUCCGCUUGGUCUAAGAUUCUCAAAUCCUGCACAUCUGGGCACAUCCCACCCUCUCCUCCCUAAAUAGCCUCUCCCUUUUUUCCCCACCCCGAAGAUUUAUAAUCCUUUCCCUUUAUCCCUGUCUUGAUCAUAUACCCUUUAUUUCUGAAAAUUUAAAAAAAAUGUUUAAAAGAAGAAGAAAAAAAAAUAACUCCCACAACAACAACAAAGCCCUAAGAAAACCAGUCCACUUGGAAAAAGAAAAGUCCUGAACCUAAUGGAAACCUCAGUCGCCAUGACAACAAGGCCACACCAAAGCAAAGGAGUCACCAUCGCACUGCCUUAGUGGCUUGAUGUGUCCCCUACUUGGACUCUUGCACCGGCUCUAACUCCUGGGCUACCACAGCCUGGUCCUCCCUCCACCCAUCUCCGUGGGCCCAGUUGGAAACCCGAAGUCUGUCUGGCUUGGCUGUGUCUAUCCAUCUCCGCCGCUCUGCUCCUCAUGGUGACGUCACCCAGUGGAUGCCUGAUGUCAAGUGGUAAGAUUUCAGUGCUUCAGACAUCACGGUGGGUGUGACAUUGAGUGGCUGAGGGGCAGGGGGGCAGGUCCUGGGAGAGUGAGGAGGGUCCCGCCAUCCCGACAGUGGGUGUGGCUCCGGGCGCACAGCCCCUGGGCUGCCUGGAGCCAGAUGCUGUGCAAAAAGCCUGUGCUCGUGCUCCCGAAGCUCCACCGCACG